GUGGUUGAAGAUGAUGAGAUGGUCACUUUUAUUCUCAAUGGCCUAGAUAUUGAUUAUAAUCCAGUUGUGUCAUCUGUUCUUGGCCGUACUGACCCAAUUCCCUUGAGUGAGCUUUAUUCACAAUUGAUGGCAUAUGAUG
rnacentral:snoRNA from 1 species